rfam:Triticum aestivum genome assembly, contig: Triticum_aestivum_CS42_TGACv1_scaffold_178263_2DS
UAACUACUCCGUCCGUCCGAAAAUACUUGUCCUCGAAAUGGUUGUAUCUAGUCUUAUUUUAGUUAUAGAUACAUCCAUUUUAUCCAUUUCUAGGACAAGUAUUUCCAGACGGAGGGAGUACUAG